UACGUAGGGUGCGAGCGUUGUCCGGAAUUAUUGGGCGUAAAGGGCUCGUAGGCGGUUUGUCGCGUCGGGAGUGAAAUCCACUGGCUUAACUGGUGGCUUGCUUUCGAUACGGGCAGACUGGAGGUAUGCAGGGGAGAACGGAAUUCCCUGGUGUAGCGGUGAAAUGCGCAGGAUAUCAGGAGGAACACCCGGUGGCGAAGGCGGUCUCUGGGCAUGUCCUGACGCUGAGGAGCGAAAGUGUGGGGAGCGAACAGG
rnacentral:rRNA from 1 species